ACCCCUCUGCCAUUCCUCAUCCACGGCUCGGCAUAUAAGGCGGCCAGAGGACGGCUGCGCACAACCUCCUCAUUUCUGCCGCUCCGCCAUGCGCCUGCCGCCCCUACUCCUCGUGCUCUGCGUGCUGGUCCUCGCGGCUGAAGGAUGGAAGUGUUACCGUCCGCGGCAGACGUGCGGUAUCUUCCGUAACAAGGUGUGCCUACUAUGCAGAUAUGGAAAGCUCUGCUGCCGCGGUGGUGAUACUUUCAGAGAGUGCCAGAGAAAGUGCAAAUAUGGACAUUGCUAUCCGUGCCAUCUCGGUUUCUGCUGCCGCCCCCCUUUCUGUCAGGGCAAGAACUGCAAACAGCGCUAAUCGCUCUGCUGAAGAAAGCAUACCUGCCAUCAGCAAGAGGACAUCUCCAGCGUUCGGAGCGUUCAGCAGCUUAUAUCACCCAGUGUAGAUGGCUAACGACGCGCGCGCAGCGAUCCGAAAGAACAUGCUAGCAAUCAUGGUCUCGCGGGCUUGGAGGGCGCUAAUCAAACAUGCACAUUAAUUGUUAAUUAAUUGAACGCCGUUAAUUGAACACAUUGGCCUGUCUGUGCACUGCUGCCGCUGAGGACGAUAGCCGUCGAAUGUCACCUGGCUCAGACAAAUAAAGGAGA